rnacentral:rRNA from 1 species
UACGAAGGGGGGCUAGCGUUGCUCGGAAUCACUGGGCGUAAAGGGUGCGUAGGCGGGUCUUUUAAGUCAGGGGUGAAAUCCUGGAGCUCAACUCCAGAACUGCCUUUGAUACUGAGGAUCUUGAGUUCGGGGAGAGGUGAGUGGAACUGCGAGUGUAGAGGUGAAAUUCGUAGAUAUUCGCAAGAACACCAGUGGCGAAGGCGGCUCACUGGCCCGAUACUGACGCUG